UACGUAGGGCGCAAGCGUUGUCCGGAAUUAUUGGGCGUAAAGAGCUCGUAGGCGGUUUGUCGCGUCUGCUGUGAAAACCUAAGGCUCAACCUUGGGCUUGCAGUGGGUACGGGCAGACUAGAGUUCGGUAGGGGAGACUGGAAUUCCUGGUGUAGCGGUGAAAUGCGCAGAUAUCAGGAGGAACACCGAUGGCGAAGGCAGGUCUCUGGGCCGAUACUGACGCUGAGGAGCGAAAGCGUGGGGAGCGAACAGG
rnacentral:rRNA from 1 species